AUGGCUCUCUGGGCACUGCUCCUCCCCGAACCUGGGAACCUCGGCCUGGAGGCAGCAAGAGCCAGGGACAGGCUCCCGGGCCAUGGGCAGAUUCCCACCAGAAGCACAGAAUGUGAAGAGAUAACAAAAGAAACAUCAAACGGUUGCGGGAAGCCUCCGAGCAGCCUGGAGCAGACAGAACGGGCCGCCAGGGCACCUCCUGUGCCAGGAGCCUGCGGGGCCCUGUUCCCAGGGAACGACAGCCGGGACCGGCCACAGAAGGCAGAGGAAAGGUCCCCGGUGCGGGCGCAGCCUCGCCUUUCAUCCCAGCGCGCCCCCCGCGCCCCCCCACCCCCACCUCUUACCGCCAGGUGGGGGGAGGUUCGGGCCGCGCUUCCUCCCCCGGCGUCGGCCCCGCCCGGAAAACGCCCCUCCUCCCGGGCCACCUGCUUCACGCCCGAACCGCGUCCCUGCCCGAGACGCCCAUUUACUACAAAGGCCGGCGCGUCCCGGCCCCGCUCCCCGCGACCGUCCCUCCCCCGCCCCGCGCGCCCCGCCCGCACCUGCGUGACCUCCGGGCGCCCGCCCCGGCCCUCGGGCACCCGAGUCACCGCCGGCGCCCGCGGCCGCCCCGCCCCCGAGGCCCACGCGCCCCCCGCCCGCCGCCCGCCGCGGGGGAGGGGCGCGCCCCGAGCCCGAGCCCAGCCCGAGCCGAGCCGAGCCGAGCCCGAGCCCCGGGUGGGUCCGCGUGCCCGCCGCGCGCGGCUGACAAAGAGCGGGGCCGCGCCAUGCGGAUGCGCGACCGCGGGGGCCGGCGGGGAGACCCGGGCGGGCAGCGCCCUCCGCGGGCCCCCGGCCCCGCCCGCAGCUGCCGGGCCCGGCCCCGAGGGCUCGGCCCCCCUCCUCCCGGAGAGCACGCCUCCCCCGGGCCCGGGCGGCGCCCCCCGCGCGCUCGGCGACCCCGCCCGGGCCCGGGGGCUGCAGGUGCGAGGCCCGGCGGCCGCGAUGCCCGCGCUGUCAGCCCGCCCGCGGCCGCGCCUUACCCUGGGAGCCGGAGCCGGGACGCGGCCGGCGGCAGCGCGAAGGCGAAGGCGGCGGGGCGCGCCCGGGGCUGGAGCGCGGCGAGCCGAGGGGAGCGGCUCCCACAAUGGCCGAGCUCGCGGCGCCGAGCCCCCCGCCCCCCGCGCCCUAGCGGCAGCGGCUGAAGCGGAGCCGGCGCAGCCGCCCAACCCGCUCCCCCACCCCCGGCGCCGACGCCGCCCCCGCCCCCGCUGCGCGCUCCCCCCGCCCCGCACCCCACCCGCGGCCGCCGCCUUCGCUCCCCGCGCGCUCCUGCCCCGCCGCGGCCCCGCGCCCUGCGCCCCGCGCCCCGCGCCCUGCCCGGGGCCUGCCCCCCCCCCGCUCCCUCCCCCCAACGCCUGGGGUGCGGCCGCGGGGUCCCCGGGCCAACUCCUCUCGCCGCGGCCCCGCCCCGCGCCCUGCCCGGGGCCUCCCCCCCCCGCUCCCUCCCCCCAACGCCUGGGUGCGGCCGCGGGUCCCCGG
rnacentral:lncRNA from 1 species